GAUGAACGCUGGCGGCGUGCUUAACACAUGCCAGUCGAACGGAAAGGCUCCUGCUUGCAGGGGUACUCGAGUGGCGAACGGGUGAGUAACACGUGGGUGAUCUGCCCUGCACUUCGGGAUAAGCCUUGGAAACUGGGUCUACUACCGGAUAGGACCACAUUUUGGAUGGUGUGGUGGAAAGUUUUUCGGUGUGGGAUGAGCUCACGGCCUAUCAGCUUGUUGGUGGGGUAAUGGCCUACCAAGGCGUCGACGGGUAGCCGGCCGGUGAGGGUGUAGGGCCACAUUGGGAGCGGGAUGCGGCCCAGAGUCCUGCGGGGUGGAGGAGUGGUGAAUAUUGAACAGAGGGGGCAAGCGUGACGCAUCGACGCCGCGUGGGGGAUGAUGUCCUUAAGUUUGUAAACUACUUGCGCUAGGUACAAAGCGUUGUUGUGACGGUACCUGGUGAAGAAGCACCGGCUAACUACGUG
rnacentral:rRNA from 1 species